ACUGGGCCCCUGACUCCAGGAAAACAGAGGCAUCUUCCAAUGUCCUUGGAGCCAUGAGACCCCGAAACACCUACCGGGAACGAAGGGGCUUCACCCAGACAGGCCCCGCAAGGGAGGAGGAGGCCGCUCUCCCUCCCACCACCGUUGUCGGGGGUGACCCGAGGUGUUCCAGAUGAGGAGCUGAAUCACUGGGACUUAAGUCAAUAAGUGGCAGCCACCAGGCAGGCUCCAUCGUCCACCUCGGACCAUCUCGGGUUUGCUGGUCUUCUGGACUAGCACAGCCAGAAAGAACCCAGGAAGGAAGCCUCACGUCUGACACGAGAACCUUCGGUGCUAACCCGAGGGCGGUGUGUGCAUCCUCAGCACCUGCCCAUCCGGCACCAUCCUCUGAUCCAGGGACUGUGAUCAACAGGGCCCCGUGGCCAGGACAUCUCUCACCCUCCAGUUAAAAUCUCGCCAGUUGAGUCUGCCCAUGAAAGUAGGCGCUGAACUGCCCAAUAAAUCCACAAGUAAGAGUUGCAAGAAGGAGCCAAAAAGGGCUGAGCUGAAUGACUCAUAUGAAAUAAUUUGAUAAUUAAUAUAAAUAGGAAAUUUAAAGUCUCCAGCUGAGUGACAGAAAACACCUUAAAAAGCUCAAGAGAGAGGAAAGGAAGAAAAUAAACCCAUAAUUGCAAAAUAAAAGCAUUGAAAGAAGCCGUGCUCAAGGUAAGAUGCUACAGAUGCAAUAAAUUCAUGUUUUAACAUUA
rnacentral:antisense_RNA from 1 species